UCCCGUUGAUCCUGCGGGGGAUUGCUGCUAUUGGGAUUCGACUUAGACAUGCAAGUCAGAGGGCUUCUUCGGAAGCACAGGCAGAAGGCUCAGUAACACGUCGAUAAUCUGCCCUUAGGUUCAGCAUACCCAUGGGAAACUGUGGCUAAAACUGGAUAGAAGAUUGAUACUGGAACGUACUUUCUUUUAAAAGCAAUGCCUAAGGAUGAGUCGGCGGCUGAUUAGGUUGUUGGUGAGGUAAAGGCUCACCAAGCCAAAGAUCAGUAGGGGAGAUGAGAGUCUUAGCCUCGAGAAGGGCACUGAGAUAAGGGCCCUAGCCCUAAGGGGUGCAGCAGUCGCGAAACCUUUACAAUGCACGCAAGUGUGAUAAGGGAAUCCCAAGUGCUUACCUUCUGGGUAAGCUUUUUGUUAAGUUUAAAUAUCUUAACGAAUAAGUGGUGGGUAAGACCGGUGCCAGCCGCCGCGGUAACACCGGCGCCACAAGUGGCGAUCAUCAUUAUUGGGUCUAAAGCGUCCGUAGCUGAUUUAUUAAAUCCCUUGUGAAAUUGUUAAGCUCAACUUAGCAGUGUGCAAAGGACACUGAUAGAUUAGAGACCGGGAGGAGAUGAGAGAACCAUUUGGGAAGUGGUAAAAUGCUAUAAUCCAAAUGGGACUACCAGUGGUGAAGACGCUCAUCUAGAACGGGUCUGACAGUGAGGGACGAAGGCCAGGGGAGCAAAAGGGAUUAGAUACCCCUGUAGUCCUGGCUGUAAACGCUGCAAACUAAGUGUUACAUGUUCUCAGUGAUCAUGUAGUGCUGAAGCGAAGGCAUUAAGUUUGCCACCUGGGAAGUACGGCCGCAAGACUGAAACUUAAAGGAAUUGGCGGGGGCUCACACAAGGAGUGCGGCGUGCGGUUUAAUUUAAUUACACGCAGCGAAUCUCACCAAGAACGACAGCAGAAUGAAGGUCAGAUUAAAGGUUUUACCUGACACGCUGAGAGGUGGUGCAUGGCCGUCGUCAGUUCGUGCCGUAAGGUGUCACGUUAAGUCGUGCAACGAACAAGACCUAUAUUUACAGUUGCUAGCGUGCCUAUACAGGUGAACGAGCACACUGUAAAGACUGCCUUGGUAACAAGGAGGAAGGUGUAGGCAACGAUAGGUCAGUAUGCCCCGAAUUUCUUGUGCUACACGCGCGCAACAAUGGUAAGGACAAUGGGAUACAACUCUGAAAAGAGAAGUUAAACCUCAAAACCUUAUCUUAGUUCGAAUUGAGGGCUGUAAUUCGCUCUCAUGACGCUGGAAUUCCUAGUAAUCAGAGUUCAUCACGCUCUGGUGAAUACGUCCCUGAGCCUUGCACACACUGCCCGUCAUCCCAAUCGAGCAGGGUUUAGGUGAGGUUUAAUCUUCGGAUUAAUUCGAACCUAAACUCAGUGAGAAGGGGCAAGUCGUCACAAGGUA
rnacentral:rRNA from 1 species